rnacentral:rRNA from 1 species
CGGAGAGUUUGAUCCUGGCUCAGGACGAACGCUGGCGGCAUGCCUAAUACAUGCAAGUCGAACGAACUUUCCUUUUGAUUGAUGCUUGCAUCAUGAUUUAGAUCUAAGUGAGUGGCGGACGGGUGAGUAACACGUGGGUAACCUGCCCAGAAGUGGGGGAUAACAUUUGGAAACAAGUGCUAAUACCGCAUAACAACAUUAAACACAUGUUUUUUGUUUAAAAGAUGGUUUUGCUAUCUCUUCUGGAUGGACCCGCGGCGUAUUAGCUAGUUGGUGAGGUAAUAGCUCACCAAGGCGAUGAUACGUAGCCGACCUGAGAGGGUAAUCGGCCACAUUGGGACUGAGACACGGCCCAAACUCCUACGGGAGGCAGCAGUAGGGAAUCUUCCACAAUGGACGAAAGUCUGAUGGAGCAACGCCGCGUGAGUGAAGAAGGGUUUCGGCUCGUAAAACUCUGUUGUUAAAGAAGAACAUAUCUGAGAGUAACUGUUCAGGUAUUGACGGUAUUUAACCAGAAAGCCACGGCUAACUACGUGCCAGCAGCCGCAGUAAUACGUAGGUGGCAAGCGUUGUCCGGAUUUAUUGGGCGUAAAGCGAGCGCAGGCGGUUUUUUAAGUCUGAUGUGAAAGCCUUCGGCUCAACCGAAGAAGUGCAUCGGAAACUGGGAAACUUGAGUGCAGAAGAGGACAGUGGAACUCCAUGUGUAGCGGUGAAAUGCGUAGAUAUAUGGAAGAACACCAGUGGCGAAGGCGGCUGUCUGGUCUGUAACUGACGCUGAGGCUCGAAAGUAUGGGUAGCAAACAGGAUUAGAUACCCUGGUAGUCCAUACCGUAAACGAUGAAUGCUAAGUGUUGGAGG